CUCCUUUUUGACACAGAGACUCCUCUCUCUUCUCUCCCGCUGCACUGUAGCCCUUUUCAAACUGGGAAGCUCCAGGUCAGUUUCCCUUGCCAAGUUUUACGGCCUGCCAUGUUGUCUAUUCUGCUCAGCUAUUUAAAAAAUGUUGAAUAUCAACAAUGGCUUUCACUGGUGCAUUGUCAACUUUGUAUGAAGCAAUCUUGGCUGAAUGAGAUGGGUCCCAGAGCAGGGAGGGCUCGGCUGUAGCAUGCAAAGAGACACCACAGGCGCCUGCCUGGUUCUCCCUCUCUUGCUCUGCUGCAGGUGGGAUCGAGGAGACAGGAGCAGCCGCCCCUCUCGUCCCUGUCUUAGCCCAGCCGGUUGCGUCUGCAUGGGGCUGGGCAUUCCACCCACUCGUCAGUUCUCGCCGCGAGCCCUUCCUCAUCCCAAGGCCCCAUCCCACUGGACCUGUCGUCUGGGAGCCACUGAACGUGUGACACCUCACACAGGGAUCGGAGAGCAGGAGCCCCGGAGGCCAGUCAGAGAUGGGUAUGAAGGACAGGCCCUCUGUCUUAAUGACUGACUGACUCACGGACAUGGCUUUCAACAACAUGGUCGGUCCUAGAGGAAGAAAUUAUGCUCUAGCAGUCACACAACCCAACACACGUCUGUUCACAGGUAGCCAUGUAAACCCCAUUGGAGAUGCAGGUUUGAAGAGAAGCAGAGGAAAUCCUCCACCCAACCCAGAGAAGCCCUCUCCAGGUCAGCAGCAACAUUGGAGUACCCCACUACCUGACAGGCUGACUGAUGCUCCAGACAAAGUGUUUCCCCUACCAUCCAUCCAUCUAUAGGCCACAGCUGUCUGUCUGUCUGUCUCCAAUCUGUCUGUCUUUCUCUGUCUGUCUUUCUCUCUGUCUGUCUGUCUGUCUCUCUGUCUGUCUGUCUCCCUCUCUCUGUCUCUCUCUCUCUCUCUCUCUCUGUCUGCAGGUUGGGACCUGAAAGAUGUGCCAGACCCUCUGCCAAACGUCGUCCUCCACCUCGCCCUGCAGACAUUGGCUCAUACUGCAUGACCCUCCAGCAUGACAAUGCCACCAGCCAUACUGCUCGUUCUGUGAGAGAUUUCCUGCAAGACAGGAAUGCCAGUGUUCUGCCAUGGCCAGCGAAGAGCACGGAUCUCAAUCCCAUUGAGCACGCCUGGGACCUGUUGGAUCGGAGGGUGAGGGCUGGGGCCAUUCCCCCCCCCAGAUAUGUCCUGGAACUUACAGAUGCCUUGGUGGAAGAGUGGAGUAACAUCUCAAAGCAAGAACUGGCAAAUCUGGUGCAGUCCAUGAGGAGGAGAUGCACUGCAGUACAUAAUGCAGCUGGUGACCACACCAGAUACUGACUGUUACUUUUGAUUUUGACCCCCCCUUUGUUCAGGGACACAUUAUUCCAUUUCUGUUAGUCACAUGUCUGUGGAACUUGUUCAGUUUAUGUCUUAGUUGUUGAAUCUUGUUAUGUUCAUACAAAUAUUUACACAUGUUAUUAAGUUUGCUGAAAAUAAACGCAGUUGACAGUGA